rnacentral:rRNA from 1 species
AAAGAUUUAUCAGUAACGGAUGGGGAUGCGUGACAUUAGAUAGUUGGCGGGGUAACGGCCCACCAUGUCCACGAUGUCUAGGGGUUCUGAGAGGAAGGUCCCCCACACUGGAACUGAGACACGGUCCAGACUCCUACGGGAGGCAGCAGUGAGGAAUAUUGGUCAAUGGUCGGAAGACUGAACCAGCCAAGUAGCGUGAAGGAUGAAGGUUCUAUGGAUUGUAAACUUUUUUUAUACGGGAAUAAAGCCCGCUACGUGUAGCGGUUUGUAUGUACCGUAUGAAUAAGCAUCGGCUAACUCCGUGCCAGCAGCCGCGGUAAUACGGAGGAUGCGAGCGUUAUCCGGAUUUAUUGGGUUUAAAGGGAGCGUAGACGGGAGAUUAAGUCAGUUGUAAAAGGCUGCGGCUCAACCGCAGCACUGCAGUUGAUACUGGUUUCCUUGAGUGCGGUUGAGGUGUAUGGAAUCCGUGGUGUAGCGGUGAAAUGCUUAGAUAUCACGAAGAACUCCGAUUGCGAAGGCAGUACACUAAGCCGUAACUGACGUUGAGGCUCGAAAGUGUGGGUAUCAAACAGGAUUAGAUACCCUGGUAGUCCACACGGUAAACGAUGAAUACUCGGUGUUGGGGAGACAAUGUCAGCGGCCAAGCGAAAGCAUUAAGUAUUCCACCUGGGGAGUACGCCGGCAACGGUGAAACUCAAAGGAAUUGACGGGGGCCCGCACAAGCGGAGGAACAUGUGGUUUAAUUCGAUGAUACGCGAGGAACCUUACCCGGGCUUAAAUUGCAGAGGACAGCUCAAGAGAUUGAGUCUUCUUCGGAUCUCUGUGAAGGUGACAAGAAUGGUUGUCGUCAGCUCGUGCCGUGAGGUGUCGGCUUAAGUGCCAUAACGAGCGCAACCCUUGCCAAUAGUUGCCAUCAGGUCAUGCUGGGAACUCUAUUGGGACUGCCAUCGUAAGAUGUGAGGAAGGUGGGGAUGACGUCAAAUCAGCACGGCCCUUACGUCCGGGGCUACACACGUGUUACAAUGGGAGGUACAGAAGGCCGCUACCCGGCGACGGGAUGCCAAUCCCCAAAACCUCUCUCAGUUCGGAUUGGAGUCUGCAACCCGACUCCAUGAAGCUGGAUUCGCUAGUAAUCGCGCAUCAGCCACGGCGCGGUGAAUACGUUCCCGGGCCUUGCACACACCGCCCGUCAAG